rnacentral:lncRNA from 1 species
CUGGGUGGCAUGGGGAGCUGGGUGGCAUGUCUGGUGGGGAGCUGGGUGGCAUGUCUGGUGGGGAGCUGGGUGGCAUGGGGAGCUGGGUGGCAUGUCUGGUGGGGAGCUGGGUGGCAUGGCCGGUGGGGAGCUGGGUGGCAUGGGGAGCUGGGUGGCAUGUCUGGUGGGGAGCUGGGUGGCAUGGGGAGCUGGGUGGCAUGUCUGGUGGGGAGCUGGGUGGCAUGGGGAGCUGGGUGGCAUGUCUGGUGGGGAGCUGGGUGGCAUGGGGAGCUGGGUGGCAUGGGGAGCUGGGUGGCAUGGGGAGCUGGGUGGCAUGGGGAGCUGGGUGGCAUGUCUGGUGGGGAGCUGGGUGGCAUGUCUGGUGGGGAGCUGGGUGGCAUGGGGAGCUGGGUGGCAUGUCUGGUGGGGAGCUGGGUGGCAUGUCUGGUGGGGAGCUGGGUGGCAUGGGGAGCUGGGUGGCAUGGGGAGCUGGGUGGCAUGUCUGGUGGGGAGCUGGGUGGCAUGGGGAGCUGGGUGGCAUGUCUGGUGGGGAGCUGGGUGGCAUGUCUGGUGGGGAGCUGGGUGGCAUGGGGAGCUGGGUGGCAUGUCUGGUGGGGAGCUGGGUGGCAUGGCCGGUGGGGAGCUGGGUGGCAUGUCUGGUGGGGAGCUGGGUGGCAUGUCUGGUGGGGAGCUGGGUGGCAUGGGGAGCUGGGUGGCAUGGGGAGCUGGGUGGCAUGUCUGGUGGGGAGCUGGGUGGCAUGUCUGGUGGGGAGCUGGGUGGCAUGUCUGGUGGGGAGCUGGGUGGCAUGUCUGGUGGGGAGCUGGGUGGCAUGGGGAGCUGGGUGGCAUGUCUGGUGGGGAGCUGGGUGGCAUGGGGAGCUGGGUGGCAUGGGGAGCUGGGUGGCAUGGGGAGCUGGGUGGCAUGGGGAGCUGGGUGGCAUGUCUGGUGGGGAGCUGGGUGGCAUGGCCGGUGGGGAGCUGGGUGGCAUGGGGAGCUGGGUGGCAUGGGGAGCUGGGUGGCAUGGCCGUGACUCUUGGGGAUUUGGUUGCUUCUCUCACCAUCCUCCUCCUCAUCCUGGGGGGGGGCAAAAUGCAUUUGCGUCCUCUACCCGUGAGGUUUUACACUGUUCCAUAUCUUUUGAAUGUUUUAAUAAUUGUCCUGACAGUGCCCAGUGGUAUAUUCAAUCGUUUGUUGGAUCUUCUUGUAGCCGUUACCAGAUUUAUCAAGGUCUACGAUCGUCUGUAUUUUUUUGAACUGCCAGUUCUUUUCUUCAUGGUGUUGGAUCACGAAGGGAUAUUGCAUGAGUGUUACCUCAUUUUUAUACCCUAGUGAAACAGGAAG